CACGUAGGGGGCAAGCGUUGUCCGGAUUUAUUGGGCGUAAAGAGCUCGUAGGCGGCUUAGUAAGUCGGGUGUGAAAGUCAAAGGCUCAACCUUUGAAUGUCAGCGGAUACUGCCGGGCUAGAGUCCGGAAGAGGCGAGUGGAACUCCUGGUGUAGCGGUGGAAUGCGCAGAUAUCAGGAAGAACACCAACGGCGAAGGCAGCUCGCUGGGACGGAACUGACGCUGAGGCGCGAGAGCGUGGGGAGCGAACCGG
rnacentral:rRNA from 1 species